UACAGAGGGUGCGAGCGUUGUUCGGAAUUAUUGGGCGUAAAGAGCUCGUAGGCGGUCAGUCGCGUCUGCUGUGAAAACUCGGGGCUUAACUCCGGGCCUGCAGUGGGUACGGGCUGACUAGAGUGCGGUAGGGGAGACUGGAAUUCCUGGUGUAGCGGUGAAAUGCGCAGAUAUCAGGAGGAACACCGGUGGCGAAGGCGGGUCUCUGGGCCGUAACUGACGCUGAGGAGCGAAAGCGUGGGGAGCGAACAGG
rnacentral:rRNA from 1 species